AUUGAACGCUGGCGGCAGGCCUAACACAUGCAAGUCGAACGGUAACAGGAAGCAGCUUGCUGCUUUGCUGACGAGUGGCGGACGGGUGAGUAAUGUCUGGGAAACUGCCCGAUGGAGGGGGAUAACUACUGGAAACGGUAGCUAAUACCGCAUAACGUCGCAAGACCAAAGGGGGGGACCUAGGGCCUCUUGCCAUCGGAUGUGCCCAGAUGGGAUUAGCUAGUAGGUGGGGUAACGGCUCACCUAGGCGACGAUCCCUAGCUGGUCUGAGAGGAUGACCAGCCACACUGGAACUGAGACACGGUCCAGACUCCUACGGGAGGCAGCAGUGGGGAAUAUUGCACAAUGGGCGCAAGCCUGAUGCAGCCAUGCCGCGUGUAUGAAGAAGGCCUUCGGGUUGUAAAGUACUUUCAGCGGGGAGGAAGGGAGUAAAGUUAAUACCUUUGCUCAUUGACGUUACCCGCAGAAGAAGCACCGGCUAACUCCGUG
rnacentral:rRNA from 1 species